rnacentral:rRNA from 1 species
CUGGCGACGUGCCUAACACAUGCAAGUCGAACGGGGUUAAGGGAAAUUUCGGAUGGACUUAACUAGUGGCGGACGGGUGAGUAACGCGUGGAUAACCUGCCUCACACUGGGGGGAUAGCAGCUGGAAACGGCUGGUAAUACCGCAUAAGACCACAGCACCGCAUGGUGCAGGGGUAAAAGAUUUAUCGGUGUGAGAUGGAUCCGCGUCUGAUUAGCCAGUUGGCGGGGUAACGGCCCACCAAAGCGACGAUCAGUAGCCGGCCUGAGAGGGUGAACGGCCACAUUGGGACUGAGACACGGCCCAAACUCCUACGGGAGGCAGCAGUGGGGAAUAUUGCACAAUGGGCGCAAGCCUGAUGCAGCAACGCCCGCGUGAGUGAAGAAGUAUUUCGGUAUGUAAAGCUCUAUCGGCAGGGAAGAAAGGCCCGAAAGGGAGAUGACGGUACCUGACUAAGAAGCCCCGGCUAACUACGUGCCAGCCGCAGC